rnacentral:sRNA from 1 species
CGGAUAUUCAUGAAGUGAUGGGAGUGA